GAGGUUGUGCCCUUGAGGCGUGGCUUCCGGAGCUAACGCGUUAAGUAGACCGCCUGGGGAGUACGGCCGCAAGGUUAAAACUCAAAUGAAUUGACGGGGGCCCGCACAAGCGGUGGAGCAUGUGGUUUAAUUCGAUGCAACGCGAAGAACCUUACCUGGUCUUGACAUCCACAGAACUUUCCAGAGAUGGAUUGGUGCCUUCGGGAACUGUGAGACAGGUGCUGCAUGGCUGUCGUCAGCUCGUGUUGUGAAAUGUUGGGUUAAGUCCCGCAACGAGCGCAACCCUUAUCCUUUGUUGCCAGCGAUUAGGUCGGGAACUCAAAGGAGACUGCCAGUGAUAAACUGGAGGAAGGUGGGGAUGACGUCAAGUCAUCAUGGCCCUUAC
rnacentral:rRNA from 1 species